rnacentral:lncRNA from 1 species
GAGACAGAGUCUCACACUGUCGCCCAGGCUGGAGUCCAGUGGUGCAAUCUUGGCUCACUGCAAGCUCCGCCUCUUGGGUUCACACCAUUCUGUUGCCUCAGCCUCCCUAGUAGCUGGGACUCCAGGCGCCCGCCACCAUGCCUGGCUAAUUUUUUGUAUUUUUAGUAGAGACGGGGUUUCACCGUGUUAGCCAGGCUAAUUUUUGUUUGGUUUUCUUUUUUUUUUUUUUUUUUUUUUUGGUAGAGACAGAGUUUCACCAUGUUGGCCAGGUUGGUCUCAAACUCCUGACCUCAAGUGAUCUGGCUGCCUUGGCCUCCCAAAGUACUGGGAUUACAGGCAUGAGCCACCAUGCCCAGCCAAGGAGUCAGAAUUCUUAAAUGGCUUACUCAGUUGUAUAUAUAGUUGAGGGCAGAAAUAAAUUUAUUAAUGAAAUCUAUGACAAAAACAAACCAAUAUCCAGAAGACUAUGGGCCACCACCACACAUUAGUCCUACUUACAGGGACUGGUCUUCAAACAUUAUACAAUAGCUUUCUUCAAAAUCAAAUAAAAGAUUUGUAGGCAAAAACAUACCAGGUAUUCUGAAAUAAUAUAUGUAAUGCCUACUUCACUAUGGGAUAUGUGAGUCCAUCAAUAACUGUCAGUUUCCUCCCUAGUUUAUCCAUAUAUCCCCUAAAUGCAUGCCCCUGUUAUGUCAGAGCAAUUUUUUGAGUAUGCAAAAAUCUUUUACAUGCAACAUUCCACAUACUGUUCUUUCUUAAGAGUUGCCUUGGGUGAGAAGAGAACAAUACAUAUGAAAUUUCAGCCACUGUCAUUUGUGGGGAAAAAAAAAUCUCCUUAGAUAUAGCUGGAUGCUGGAGAAAGGGAAAUGCUGGACUCACUUCAACAUGACUUGGAAUGAGUGUAGGUAUACAGCUGCCAUCCACCUGAAGAGUACCAUAAUUAAUUAUAUGUCAGGAAAAAUUACAUCAUUGUCAAUCGUUUCUAGCAAAAGGAAAUGUAAUGCAUCUUUAGAUGAAAAAUAAUUUUUUCCUUCAAAUACUUGAUUUUUCAAAUAAUUCCAAGUAGUAGAAUUUUCAUGUUGAGUUGAAAUCUCUUCUGAUACAAACAGAAAAGGUUAUCAGAUAGUUCUACUUGGAAAGGACACGAAAUGAUAAUCAUCUUUUUCUGUAUCAUGAUGGCUCAUUUCAGAUCUACAUUAAAGUUUCUUUGGUUGGAAAAGCUCUUACAGUGUUUGUAUAUUACUUAGAUUUUGUUGAACUAUCUUGUGUGUCUUACUAUGUAUGUGCUGGUGCAUAAAGGCUCAAAAUAAGUAUCAUAGCAACAUAGUUUACGCAGUAAUAAUGGACUGUUUUGCUCAAGGCCUGCUUGAUUCUUACCUGUAUUACUGUUACUCAUUGUAGUUUUUAUAUGCACCAGGAUUUCUUUCUUCAAACAUAGUAUUUUUUUUUUACAGGGUUUAAAAUUUCAGUAAAAUGAGCUGAUCUACAAUUCUGCUGGUUUUUAUGGAAGUACAGGUGUGUGUUAUGUUUGCAUAUCCCUUGGACUUUGGCCUGCAUAUCAAAGUCUAAGGACACCAGACACAACAGGUCAGUUUGCAUGAACUGGGGCUGCCCACUGGAAUAACAAACCUGAGUGUUAAUGUCACUAAAGGAAGACCAAGCCUUCAAGAGAGUUCUAACACAUACUUAAGUCUUUCCAAGGUCCUUGGAAGGUAGUAGAGGUCAAAUUCAAGAGAGCUUUUUAAGAAUUUUUAAGAUUUUA